rnacentral:lncRNA from 1 species
UGGGGCUUGAUUUGUGUGUUUUUCCUUUCCCAUUUUGUAAAAUCGACUACAGAGUUCUGGGAUUGGAUGGAAUAAUUAUUUCGGAUUGUAAAAUAAGAAAAUAAGCUAAAUAUGUGUAGCAAAUAUCUUUUUGAAAUAGUCAUAUGUGUAUUAAACUUUGAAAUAUAAUGCAUUGAGUCUACAAGAUAUUUUGCAGAUUAAAAUUUUUCUCUUUAUCAUGAGAAAAAGAAAGAAUUGGUAUCGAUUUCUCGAAACAAAGAUGAAAAAAAAAAACAAAAGAUAACACUUAAAUAAUGGAUCAAUUAAGCCCUUUCCACGAGUAUAAAGAGAAUGAAAGAAAUGAAACAACGAAAAUAAGCCGAGAAAAGCUAUGGGUAAGUGAACUGGACAAUAUUAAUGAG